AGUGAACGCUGGCGGUAGGCCUAACACAUGCAAGUCGAACGGCAGCACAGUAAGAGCUUGCUCUUACGGGGGGCGAGUGGCGGACGUGUGAGGAAUACAUCGGAAUCUACUUUUUCGUGGGGGAUAACGUAAGUAAACUUACGCUAAUACCGCAUACGACCUACGGGUGAAAGCAGUGGAUCUUCUGACCUUUCGCGAUUGAAUGAGCGGAUGUGGGAUUAGCUAGUUGGCGGGUUAAAGGCCCACCAAGGCGACGAUCCGUAGCUGGUCUGAGAGGAUGAUCAGCCACACUGGAGGGGAGCCAGGGACCAGACUCCUAAGGGAGGACGCAGAGGGGAAUAGUGGACAAUGGGGGCAAGUAUGAUACAGCGAGACGGAGUGGGUGAAGAAGGCCUCGGGGUCGUAAAGACGGUUUGUGGGGAAAGAAAAGCAGCAGGUUAAGACCAAGCUGUUGUGACGGUAACGAAAGAAUAAGCACCGGCUAACUUCGUG
rnacentral:rRNA from 1 species